rnacentral:tRNA from 1 species
GGAGAGGUCGCCUAGCCUGGCUUAGGGCGCUCGCCUGGAAAGCGGGUAAACGGAAACGUUUCGCGGGUUCAAAUCCCGCUCUCUCCG